AUAGCAAGCCGGUCUAUCGCUUUUGUCUGUCGACAGGAGAGGAAAGUCUGGGCAAUGUAGAGCACCGUACUUGUGAAUAGGAAGAUAUUUGUGAAAGUAUAGUAGCGUAGCAGAGAAUAACCGCCCCAAUUUCGAUUGAGGUAAGGGUGAAAAGGUGAGGUAAGAGCUCACCAGUAAGGCAGGUGACUGUUUUAGCUGUACGCCUUUCGGAUUGCAAGACCAUGUACACCUCAAUGCUUUUGCGCAAAGUUGCUCGCUUUGUUUUUCAUUGAAAUGUUGAGGGGGGUAGGUCGCUAGAGGUCAUGGGUGACCAUGAUUCGAGAUAAAUGAUAGACACCCUUUAAAACUGUUUUUAGGGUACAGGACCCGGCUUAUAGGCUUGCUAUAUUU
rnacentral:RNase_P_RNA from 1 species